rnacentral:rRNA from 1 species
AUUGAACGCUGGCGGCAUGCCUUACACAUGCAAGUCGAACGGCAGCACGGGUGCUUGCACCUGGUAGCGGAGUGGCGGAACGGGUGAGUAACUACAUCGGAAUGUACCUUGUAGUGGGGGAUAGCUCGGCGAAAGCCGGAUUAAUACCGCAUACGCUCUGAGGAGGAAAGCGGGGGACCUUCGGGCCUCGUGCUACAAGAGCAGCCGAUGUCAGAUUAGCUUGUUGGUGAGGUAAAAGCUCACCAAGGCGACGAUCUGUAGCUGGUCUGAGAGGACGACCAGCCACACUGGGACUGAGACACGGCCCAGACUCCUACGGGAGGCAGCAGUGGGGAAUUUUGGACAAUGGGCGAAAGCCUGAUCCAGCAAUGCCG